GAAGCUGUCACUGCAAUUUCCGGGAGACGGAAAAUUUUAACAAUGCGGGUCGGUCGCAAAAGUUUUAUCGCGCCGUUUUCACGACACGAAGCGGAAGAAAACGCUGGACAUUAACGGCAAAUUGAAAGGACAAACGCCGAUCUCAGGACGAUCAUUCGUCAAGUGCACCCAUGCGGAACAUCGCUCAGCCGGGGCGAGAAGAAACUCCACCAAAGGUCGCGCAAAGCGGCCUUUUUUAUUUACCGCAUGUGCCAAACCGGAGGAAAUUGUUGUUCGUGCCUUUUCGCACACUGUGCGUACGCCAGUAGAAGCCGCAGGUUCCGCUUCUUUCCCCUGGUGGCUUGUCAAAGCGACACUAAGCUGAUGUGAAGCAGCGCGAGGAGAAAUGUCGUCGGCAAACGAAUCCGGAACAACUGGUUGGCCUGGCUUUCGACCACCUUCAGCUGCUUGGGAAUUGCUGAACCAGCAGCAGAACAACAAGAACACCAGCAGCAUAACAACAACACCUUCAGCAGCAGAAAACAACAACAUCGGGCCACAUAUCAUUGUCGGCAGCUUCGACUGCACCUUUCGGCUGUACCCGCAGUGGUGCAAUCAACUGUGGCAUUUGGCCACUCAGCAUCAUAGGCAGCCUCGACUGCACUUUUCGGCUGGACCUG